GCGCCUCUAGCUCAAUGGCAGAGCAACGGACUCUUAAUCCGCAGGUUGGGGGUUCGAAUCCCCCGGGGCGCACCA
rnacentral:tRNA from 1 species